GUCCACGCUGUAAACGAUGUGUGCUAGACGUUGGGGAGCCUAGCUCUUCGGUGUCGCAGCUAACGCUUUAAGCACACCGCCUGGGGAGUACGGCCGCAAGGUUAAAACUCAAAGGAAUUGACGGGGGCCCGCACAAGCGGUGGAGCAUGUGGUUUAAUUCGACGCAACGCGAAGAACCUUACCAGCCCUUGACAUGUCCGGUAUGGGUGGGGGAGACCUCAUUCUUCAGUUCGGCUGGCCGGAACACAGGUGCUGCAUGGCUGUCGU
rnacentral:rRNA from 1 species